AGAAUGAACGUUGGCGGCGUGGAUUAGGCAUGCAAGUCGGACGGGCCGCAAGGCCAGUGGCGUAAGGGUGAGUAAGGCGACGGCAAUCAUCCCCACGGUUGGGUAUAGCCGCGAGAAAUCGCGGGUAAUCCCCAGCGACGCGAGGUGUCGGCAUCGACGCCUCGCCAAAGGCUCGCCGCCGUGGGACGAGCCGUCGUGGUAUUAGGUUGUUGGCGGGGUAACGGCCCACCAAGCCUGCGAUGCCUACCGGGUGUGCGAGCAUGGCCCGGCACACUGGGACUGAGACACUGCCCAGACUCCUACGGGAGGCUGCAGUCGAGAAUCUUCGGCAAUGGGCGCAAGCCUGACCGAGCGACGCCGCGUGGAGGACGAAGGCCUUCGGGUUGUAAACUCCUGUCGAGGGAGGAAGGGCCGCGAAGCCCUUGGCCGCUCCCUGGAGGAAGCACGGGCUAAGUUCGUGCCAGCAGCCGC
rnacentral:rRNA from 1 species